rnacentral:pre_miRNA from 9 species
UCUCGAUAGCGUAAAAGUUAACUCAAAUUUGUAUGGAGUUGAAAAGUUUGCCUACGUUUGCCGCGCGGUAUUCUGUUCCAACUGCAUACAAAUUUGAGUUAACUCUUACGCUACCAA